rnacentral:rRNA from 1 species
CUCCUACGGGAGGCAGCAGUGAGGAAUAUUGGUCAAUGGACGAGAGUCUGAACCAGCCAAGUAGCGUGAAGGAUGAAGGUCCUACGGAUUGUAAACUUCUUUUAUAAGGGAAUAAACCCUCCCACGUGUGGGAGCUUGUAUGUACCUUAUGAAUAAGCAUCGGCUAACUCCGUGCCAGCAGCCGCGGUAAUACGGAGGAUGCGAGCGUUAUCCGGAUUUAUUGGGUUUAAAGGGAGCGCAGACGGGUCGUUAAGUCAGCUGUGAAAGUUUGGGGCUCAACCUUAAAAUUGCAGUUGAUACUGGCGUCCUUGAGUGCGGUUGAGGUGUGCGGAAUUCGUGGUGUAGCGGUGAAAUGCUUAGAUAUCACGAAGAACUCCGAUUGCGAAGGCAGCACACUAAUCCGUAACUGACGUUCAUGCUCGAAAGUGUGGGUAUCAAACAGGAUUAGAUACCCUGGUAGUCCACACGGUAAACGAUGGAUACUCGCUGUUGGCGAUAUACUGUCAGCGGCUUAGCGAAAGCGUUAAGUAUCCCACCUGGGGAGUACGCCGGCAACGGUGAAACUCAAAGGAAUUGACGGGGGCCCGCACAAGCGGAGGAACAUGUGGUUUAAUUCGAUGAUACGCGAGGAACCUUACCCGGGCUUAAAUUGCAAAGGAAUAAUCUGGAAACAGAUUAGUCUUCGGACCUUUGUGAAGGUGCUGCAUGGUUGUCGUCAGCUCGUGCCGUGAGGUGUCGGCUUAAGUGCCAUAACGAGCGCAACCCUCGCCGCCAGUUACUAGCAGGUAAUGCUGAGGACUCUGGCGGGACUGCCAUCGUAAGAUGUGAGGAAGGUGGGGAUGACGUCAAAUCAGCACGGCCCUUACGUCCGGGGCUACACACGUGUUACAAUGGGCGGUACAGAAGGCAGCUACCUGGCGACAGGAUGCCAAUCCCUAAAGCCGCUCUCAGUUCGGACUGGAGUCUGCAACCCGACUCCACGAAGCUGGAUUCGCUAGUAAUCGCGCAUCAGCCACGGCGCGGUGAAUACGUUCCCGGGCCUUGUACACACCGCA